rnacentral:rRNA from 1 species
AUUGAACGCUGGCGGCAUGCUUUACACAUGCAAGUCGAACGGUAACAGGGGGCUUGCUCCGCUGACGAGUGGCGAACGGGUGAGUAAUGCGUCGGAACGUGCCGAGUAGUGGGGGAUAACGCAUCGAAAGGUGUUCUAAUACCGCAUACGUACUGAGGUAGAAAGUGGGGGACCUUCGGGCCUCACGCUAUUCGAGCGGCCGACGUCUGAUUAGCUAGUUGGUGAGGUAAAGGCUCACCAAGGCGACGAUCAGUAGCGGGUCUGAGAGGAUGAUCCGCCACACUGGGACUGAGACACGGCCCAGACUCCUACGGGAGGCAGCAGUGGGGAAUUUUGGACAAUGGGCGCAAGCCUGAUCCAGCCAUGCCGCGUGUCUGAAGAAGGCCUUCGGGUUGUAAAGGACUUUUGUCCGGGAGCAAAUGCUGGUGGCUAACAUCCACCGGAGCUGAGAGUACCGGAAGAAUAAGCACCGGCUAACUACGUGCCAGCCGCCGCUGUAACAC